UGGUGUUAGUAGAUCAACUGCAACAAAAUAGUAACUGAAAAGUACCAUUUUCAAAUACUUUUUGAGUAAACAGUGCCCUCCUUCCCAAGACCUUACUUUUCAGAUGUAGAAAGCCUGUCAUUCCAAACACACGCAACCUCUCUUCGCUCUCAUUUGAAUCCACCCUCUCUUUCACAUUCCUCAUUCUUCAACUCAACCUUCAGCUUUCUUCUUCUUCCACCGUGUUCUUUGAUUCUCAGACGAAAGAUUUUUUUAAUUCCACUUUUUUAUUCAUUUCUCUGUUUCUUCACACAGUACAUAUUUGUGGUUUCAUCUCUCUCAUUACUUUCUUCAUCCCUCCAUCUCUACUUCUAUGAAGAAACCCUAACCCUUAAAACUUCCACACUCAAACUUUCUUCUUCUAACAUCAUUUUAUCAUGCUUAUCCUCUUCUCCCUCUUUCAUGUAACUGAGCCCAACAUUUUCUCUCCCUAAUCCACGCUUUUAUAUAUGUACCUUCAACUUUCGGCAACAUCAAAAACGGGUUAAUUUGUUGUAUCAAUUUGUUCGAUUUUUGGUGUUUACUUAUGGUUUACUGGUUUAUCAUUGAUGGCUUUUGUUAUGUGUUUUACGUUCUUCUUCGUAAUGUUUGUCAUCGCUUGUGUUUUGUUUUUUUGAUUUAGAUCUGACUUGUCGUAAAUGAAUAUUUUAGUUCAUGAAAUGCCCUUAGGUUCUUCCCCCUUCCUUCAUUCCCUCAUUCAUUUUCCUAUAUUAUUUUUUUUCCAAAUUUUCCAUUUCUUAUUUCUACAGUGACUUUGUGCUAUGAGUUUGGAACUUUGAUUUCGGAAAUUGAAGAGCGUUGCAAAAAUUCAAUAGAAAAAUUUAUCUUUUAAAUAUGAUUUGAAUUUUGUUGUGCUGUUUUGAUUUAUGCUAAAUGGCUUUAAAAAGCUAUUAUUUUGACAUUUGAGAUUAUAAUUUUUUUUUGCUUCUGUAAUUCCAGAUUGAUGAGAAUGUGGCAAGAGAGAUUAUCAACCAUGGGUCUCUUCGGUACCCGAAUAUAUGUGGUUUUGAUUCCUACUCAUUUAGAAAUAGUGAUGGAGUAUGCAACUAGAGGUGAACUCUUUCAGAGGAUAUGUAAUGCCGAAUGGUUUAGCGAAAAUGAUGUUAAUAACUUGACGGUUUUGCAGAGUCUCUAGCAAAUUGGUCAUAAAGCAAAUCGUCUUGGGAGUAAAUAUGAUAUUUAUUUGUAUUCAAGUACUGAUAUUGGAGUAUUGUGCUAUGGAUUGAUUUAAAAUGAUAUGCCAUAAGAUAUGGUUUGGAAGGAAUUUUUUAAUUAACUUACACCUUUCUUUAUCAUACUAACUUCUGUAUCGCUGUAGAGUUGCGUGAUUUGAAAAACCGCUAUUGUUCCGCAAUACACUAUUUAGUAUAAAAUAUUGUCAAAAGCUACUAUAGCAUUAUUGCAUUAUUUAAGUGUUGAUAUUGGUGUAGUUUGUGUUUAAACUUGAUCUGACAGACAUAAUUAUAUGAGAAACCAAAUCAUAGGUUAUGGGUGUGAGCUCUGAAGAAACCAGAUCUGAGUUAUCUGAUGCAGAUAUGGUAGUAUAUUUUGAUCUUUAGAGAUUCCUACCAAUGAGUGCAGUGGCAUUGCUUCAAUAAACUGUCACAUUUUACCUUUGCGGUUAAAAUCUUCAUAUUUAACUUCGAAUGCAGAUUGUUCACUUUCAGACUUGCUUAAGGACUUCAAUGCAAAGCUUGGUAAUAGUUGGCGUGUACAUCAGAUUUCGUAAAUUAGCUGGCGUGUUUCGUGGGGGCUUUGCAGUCCGAACUGGUUGGUGUUUUCAAGAGUGCACCUCAAAUGCAAUCGAAUGGUGGUUGAUAAUAGUUGCUGCAACUUUGGUUGUUGUUAACAGCUUCAAGAAUUCAACUCAUUUGUUUGGAGUUAUUUAUGAACAAAUGUUACUUUGGUAUGUUAUAUCCAAUGAGUAUCAACGUAUGGUUCUACAUUUUGGUUUUUCGCACAAGGACUGACAUCACUCUGCCCGGAUUAGUAUAUGUUCUAUUAUGUAAUCCUUACAUCAUGGAUGUGAAAGGCAAUGGACUUUUUCUUUUUGAAAGGGCUAGAAGGAGAAAAGAUUUGGACUUUCUCGGUUUAGAAAUGAAUGAAAAGUCUGUGUUUCUUCAUAUAGUUUGUUUAACUUUCUAAGCUUUGCUUUCCUGAUUUAUUUAUCUAUUCUAUUUUUAAGCACUUCAUUAAAUCAGA